rnacentral:rRNA from 1 species
UACGGAGGGUGCAAGCGUUAUCCGGAUUCAUUGGGCGUAAAGGGUGCGUAGGCGGCGCGGUAAGUCGGGUGUGAAAUCUCGGAGCUUAACUCCGAAACUGCAUUCGAUACUGCCGUGCUUGAGGAUUGCAGAGGAGACUGGAAUUCCCGGUGUAGCGGUGAAAUGUGUAGAGAUCGGGAGGAACACCGGUGGCGAAGGCGGGUCUCUGGGCAAUUCCUGACGCUGAGGCGCGAAAGCGUGGGGAGCAAACGGG